ensembl:lncRNA novel transcript
GGUUAAAACACCUUUAAUGAUAGAGGGAAAGACACUAAUAUCUCCCGUCUGUUCUUGACAUUUUACUAGGUUAGGAAGCUCUGGAGCCUACAGCUUGAGGAGAAGCCAUCGUUCAAGUCAGUCAAUAGCAAAACCCUCACUCUCUCCUCCUCAGAACUCCUGUUCCAAAUGAUCCUAUGUUAAGAGUAAAUACUACAACUCAUUACAAGACGGAGAGAGGAGGGGGAAGAAGGGUCACACCAGGGAAGCUGGAGAGGGUUCCCCUUGAGAAAGCUGCAGAGAAUCUAUGUUCCUCAGGUACAAAGAAUGAGGAGGGAAGAAAAAUUCCUUAGGGGGCCAUCCCCUUGUAAGCACAGUAAUUUCCAAGCUCAGGGACUACAGAAAAGCCACUAGGGACAUAACAUGUUAAGAACUUAGAGAAAAAGACAAAAUCAGGGCUCAUAACUCUGGGAGGUCCUUUUGUGAAGCUGUU